AUUUAUGUUUUCUUAGAUCUGUUUUUUUGAGACAGUGGAUGUUUAAUUUUGAUGUUGUUAUGAGAUUACCGCUAGUUAGCUGUGAAGGUUUCAUUAGUCGUUUUCAAAUUCACUAAGAAACUGAUCCAAAACCCCUUUUUAUUUCUCCGUGAACCACCGUCUCCGGGGAGCCGCUCCGUCGUCUUCAGUCGCUAUCUUGACAUCUCAGUCGCUAUCUCACAUCCAUGGUUAUGGAUUUGAGUUUGAAUGGUCUUUUCUGUAAUUUUGAGGUUUUCAAUUUGUAACUCCUCUAAAUGGAACGUCAUCUGAUGAUUGAGAAGCUCAUAAAACACAUUGAGAAUGAUAAUCUCAAGCUGCUCAACAAAAUCAGAAGAAGGAUGGACAGGUUAAACGAUGGAGUAUCAGAACAAGCAUGGUGGGAGGGUCAAGUUACAGCCCAUGGUGCUCCCUCAGUCUUAGUUUGAUCACCCUGAGAAAUGAGAUGUUCUCUAUGGUAAAGCUGAUUUCUAUCUAAAAGGUGUACGAAUCUGAAUACCAUAUAGUUACGGACCGUCAUCCUUCUAUUACUUACUAUUAAUUGGAAUAUAUUGAAACUUAUGAGGGUGACAUUAUUUUCCAUGGCCCUUAUUUGGGCGAUAUUAGUCUGGGCCACCUUUUAUCCUAGGUCAGGCCUGACUAUAGUUUAGUGAAAUUCGUAAUUUAUAUUUUCACAUUUAUAAUCAUUUAUUAGAUGAGAUGUAUCUACUUCAAUGGGAGAGUUACAACCACUAACAAUUACGCUGUUUUGAAAAGAAAUGUAGGGUACACCGAAUGGUCACCAUUAGCCGCUUAUAAAAUACACAAUCUUACUGAUUUCAUAUUCAUUUCGGAAAAAGGUUUAUGUUAAAAUCAUUAGGAAAUGGAACAAGCGAGAUCGCGACGUCUCAACUGUUGAACUGGUUGUUUGCGACGUAUUUUUAAGGUGACAAGAUGCAGGCAACAAUAAGUGACAACCUUGUGCACCAGUUCUAUGUACGUAGAGGGAUCGAGGAGGAUGAGCGGAAAACCAUUUCGAAUUUCGAGGUUGAAGUCGACACAUCUGGUGUGAAGGUUGUGGAUAUAAACUACCUGAUCAAAUUUACUGCAGAUACAAUAGUUGAAAACAUUGAUAUCUUGUCGAACAAUAACUUGAUAGACUACCAAACCUUCGACAAGAUUUAUAAUACAAGAUUUAUAAUGGAUGGUCUUCUUUCACCAAGAUCUGAUGUUUAGAUACGAUGGGGGAAGUAGUCCGCAUGGAACCAACGUUACAUGUUGAUUAUCCAGCUGCUGUUCAUUAUAACAAAAAGACCCGGAUAGUCCGGUUUUCAUUAAGGAACCUAGAGUGAGACAUUUUAUUCAAUUUUCUCCAUGUAUUAGAUUAUUGCGAAUCCAUGAAAUUUAAUGUCUUCUAACGGCUAGAUAUUUAAGUUACCGUUUUAAGGAGUCAUCAGUUGCACUAUGUUACCUAUAAUGAAGCAUUUGGUUUCUUUGACAAUCAUUGGUGGCCCAGUUGUUGCAGUCUUGCAUUUUUGGAGGGUUAAGUUUAAGGACAGAGGUCAAAGAGUAGAGAUUUUGAGUUAACAUGUUGUAUCGAGGGUGUAUUUUGACCCUCUAUUUCAAGAGAUUCAUGAUUUCAAGAUCAGGUUAGACUACAUCAACCAGCGUGAGAAGAACGAGGAAGUGUAGUAUAUGUUGGACGUUUAACUUACAUUAUUUCUUUGAAAAGAAGCCUCCUAUUUUGUAUUUCUUUCUUCUCUCUCACUUUUUUUAGGAUGUUAUCACUCUCCCUAUGACAUAAAUUAUUUAUGUAUAUGCUAUAUGGCGUCUGUUUCGUUAAAUUUAUAAGUUUGAA